AUGACAUCUAGUCCUUCAUUGGUUUUUGGUGCUACUCCUUAUACCGGGACUGAGCGUGUUAUUGUCGGCGAUGACUCUUGCGGGUCAGAGCCUCCACCACAUGCGUGCUAGGCCGCAUCAGCUUUAUUCUCUCUUUGCGGCAUUCUCUGCUUCGCGAGAGACGUGGCAUUCUAGAUUGGGACAUCCGUCUGAUUCUGUUAUGACUAGACUCUCAUUGUUUACUUCUAGAAAUA
rnacentral:lncRNA from 1 species